rnacentral:lncRNA from 1 species
AUUUCUUUCGUUGUUUCUGGUUCUAUGAGACACUGUCUCGCUAUGAAACAUAUUCCAAUGGUGAAAUAAAAGCACACGAGAGCGAUUAGAUGAUGUUUCCAGUGACUCAUGACCAGUGAGUGAACGGCCGAGCUAAAUUCAGACUUAGAUCUGCUCUCCCGACCUCAAUGUCAUGACUGAACUCAUCCUAGCAGCAGCUUGCCAGCGCUGUGCCCACGCCGCUAGUGCCUCUCACUCGCCUGGCCCAAUUUACCAUCUUUCAAUAAUCUAAAUUAAAACUGGGGGCCACUGGCUUGGAUCUAAAAUUGUAAAAUGGGUUAUUGAACUGCCAGCCUGGAGCCCAGAGACCUCUCUUCUGUAUGAGCAAGGACAGAGGUUGACGCUAACGUUGGGCCUGCAGUAGCAUCUUUAGAACGCUAGCUGGUCGAUCAUGAUUGGCAUAGACAGGGAAGCGGGGAGUACGGGCCGGUCAUUCCAGGGUCCUAUGAUUUGACUCGGCAUUGUCCAGAGCACGAGGAAGCACAGCAGAAACAGGGCCCAAGACUCCCUUUUCUCGGAUGUGGAACCUGCUGUUUCAAACUGCAGGACUCAGACAAGAUACUCCAGACUAGAGCGGCCGGGAGCUUGGAGCUCAGCCUGUUCCAGGGAAGUCGGGCAAGCAUGAACUCUGCCCGUGGCUGGGACUCUCCUGACUCCAACGCCCUCUCAGUCACACCAGGGGUUCCAGAUUUUCCCUAUCUGCUGCCACACCCAACCUACCUGCUUGGGAUUUGCAUACUAGGCUGGCUCCAAACUCACAUGUGGCCAAGAUUGCCCUUGAACUCCUGACCCUCUCAAGUGUAAGGAUUAUGGGCGAGAGUCACCGCAUUCAGCUCAGUCGCCUGGUCUUGCUCAGUGAACAGCUGGAGCAAUUACACCUAUUGAAAGGAGCUCACCCUAAGUGGAAAAAGGAAGCCAGCGACUGUGCCUUCACCUGAUUGAGGAUUGCCAAGCAGGAAGCCAAAGGUGCAGAGGAGGAGGCCCAGGAACCUCAGUGGAGCCCAACAGUCACUGCAGGCCGCUCAUCCUCACACCUAUUGCAGAAUGAACAAGGAAAUUAAGCACAACGCCUGAAGCUCCAGCUCUUAUCUAUCCUGGGAAGAGCCAAAGCCCGUCUGAACCUGAGCGAAACUGGGCACAGUGGCUCCGUGGAACUUGUCUCCACCCUGCUCUCUCCGAGGAACUUCCAUCUCUCUCCAUCCUGCUCCCCCCACCUCCCACCCCUCUCGUUCCUUCUUCUUUUUUUGUGUGCCCAGUGCCCCAGGGUCCCAGCAUCUUGCCAUCCUUCAUCCCCUUUCGAGUUAACUGCAUCAUCUACUAAAUGGGUACAAAGAUGUGUAGCUGACAUGAUGACACUGGAUGAUAGGGUUGUUGAAAUGCUUACUGAAGUUAAAUGAAGUACGCAUGUACCAGGCAGGUAGUAGGUGUUCAAUAGAUCCACCACUUCACUCUCUAGAGAAGUUUGGCCUUCGUUGUCUCCCUUAGUCUGAGAGUGAUUUUGUGUUUUCUCAC